rnacentral:lncRNA from 1 species
UGAACAGAUAUGAGCUACACGGCUCAGUAAGUAAUCAUACAUAAUCUUACCGGAUCGAACAUAAUGGUAACCAUGUUUAUGCAGGGUUUGAGAAGCUGACAUGCGUAUUAUCUCACAAUUUAUCAUGGCAAAAUAUGUAUGCUUGGAAAACAAAGCAGUAUUUUCAGUCAAACAGAAUUUUCAUAAAACAUAAGAAUUCAUGCGAUUAGCAUCAUUUAAAGGAGAUAGCGGUUAUAGCAAAAUACAACAUUUCAUAAGGAUAGAUUCAAAAACCCGUUGUAAAACAAUGUAUGCUUUGGCCAGGCACGUUCAUAAAUGUCACGGUCCGCCUGCGCAGGGCACGUGACUAUCGGGCCCACAUGAGAGGGAAAACACGGGGCUCCCCUGCCAGAUGUUGGCCGGUUCCGGGGCUUCACGCAAGCGUCCUUCACCCCUCACCGAUUUUGCUUCUCCCCAAAACGCAUCUGCAGGAUUUGGAAACACCCGCCUCAUAUACCCAGGCUCUGAAACGAGCCUCAUGAUCAUGCUUCAAAUAUC